GCGGCUGGGGUGAGGCCCGAGUCGCGGCGGUGGCUGGUCGGGGCUGUGUCUGUGGGAGGCGCCGCCGCGGCAAUGGCCGUGGACACUCUGUCGCCGGACUGGGAGUUCGACCGCGUGGAUGACGGCUCUCAGAAAAUUCAUGCUGAAGUCCAGCUCAAGAACUAUGGGAAAUUCCUUGAGGAGUAUACAUCUCAGUUGAGAAGAAUUGAGGACGCACUGGAUGAUUUGAUUGGAGAUGUUUGGGAUUUCAAUCUUGAUCCUAUAGCACUAAAGCUUCUGCCAUAUGAGCAGUCCUCCCUCUUGGAGCUCAUAAAGACUGAGAACAAGGUCCUAAACAAAGUCAUCACUGUGUAUGCUGCUCUUUGUUGUGAGAUCAAGAAAUUAAAGUAUGAGGCAGAAACUAAGUUUUACAAUGGCCUUUUGUUUUAUGGUGAAGGAGCUACAGACUCCAGUAUGGUGGAAGGCGACUGCCAAAUUCAAAUGGGGAGAUUCGUUUCAUUCUUACAGGAGCUUUCCUGUUUUGUCACAAGAUGCUACGAAGUGGUGGUGAAUGUCAUCCACCAGCUGGCUGCCCUCUACAUCAGCAACAAGAUAGGACCCAAAAUUAUAGAGACAACUGGAGUUCAUUUUCAGACUAUGUAUGAGCACUUGGGAGAACUGCUAACAGUUUUACUUACCCUGGAUGAAAUUGUUGACAAUCAUGUCACACUGAAAGACCACUGGACCAUGUACAAAAGGUUACUGAAGUCUGUCCAUCACAACCCUUCGAAAUUUGGGAUUCAGGAAGAAAAAUUAAAGCCAUUUGAAAAGUUCUUGCUGAAAUUGGAAGGGCAGUUACUUGAUGGAAUGAUAUUCCAGGCCUGUAUUGAACAGCAGUUUGAUUCCCUCAAUGGAGGAAUAUCUGUGUCAAAAAACAGCACUUUUGCAGAAGAAUUUGCACAUAGCAUUCGCUCAAUUUUUGCAAACGUAGAAGCCAAACUUGGUGAGCCUUCUGAAAUUGACCAGAGAGACAAGUAUGUUGGAAUUUGUGGGCUCUUUGUACUGCAUUUUCAAAUUUUUCGAACUGUUGAUAAAAAGUUUUAUAAGUCUUUAUUGGACAUUUGUAAGAAGGUGCCAGCCAUCACUUUAACUGCCAAUAUUAUUUGGUUUCCUGAUAAUUUUCUGAUUCAUAAAGUGCCAGCAGCUGCCAAACUUCUAGACAGAAAAAGUCUUCAAGCCAUUAAAAUACACAGGGAUACCUUCCUGCAGCAGAAAGCUCAGUCACUGACCAAAGAUAUGCAGUCUUACUACGUCUUUGUGAGCUCGUGGAUGAUGAAAAUGGAAUCUAUGUUGUCUAAAGAGCAGAGGAUGGAUAAAUUUGCUGAAGACCUCACCAAUAGGUGUAAUGUGUUUAUACAGGGCUUCCUCUAUGCAUAUAGUAUAAGUACCAUCAUUAAAACCACAAUGAAUCUCUACAUGUCCAUGCAGAAGCCUAUGACCAAAACCUCAGUGAAGGCACUGUGCAGGCUCAUUGAGCUUCUCAAGGCAAUAGAGCAUAUGUUCUACAGGAGAAGCAUGGUUGUGGCAGAUUCAGUGUCACAUAUAACCCAACACCUUCAACAUCAGGCUCUUAAUUCUAUUGCUGUAGCCAAGAAAAGAGUAAUUUCAGACAAAAAGUAUAGUGAACAGCGUCUUGAUGUGCUGUCUGCUCUUGUUUUGGCGGAAAACACCCUAAACGGACCAAGUACUAAGCAACGGCGACUUAUUGUUUCUUUGGCAUUAAGUGUUGGCACACAAAUGAAAACCUUUAAAGACGAAGAGCUCUUUCCCCUUCAAGUGGUCAUGAAAAAACUGGAUCUCAUCAGUGAGCUCAGAGAACGAGUCCAAACACAGUGUGACUGUUGUUUUUUAUACUGGCAUCGAGCUGUCUUCCCAAUUUAUCUAGAUGAUGUAUAUGAGAACGCUGUUGAUGCAGCUAGAUUACAUUACAUGUUCAGUGCUUUACGAGACUGUGUGCCUGCCAUGAUGCGCUCAAGACAUUUAGAGUCUUGUGAGCUACUUCUGGAUUGCUAUGACAAGGAAAUUAUGGAGAUUUUAAAUGAGCAUUUGCUGGACAAACUGUGCAAGGAGAUUGAGAAGGACCUGCGGCUUUCUGUGCAUACGCACUUGAAGCUGGAUGACCGGAACCCCUUCCGAGUCGGCAGGAAAGACUUGGCCCUGUUCUUCUCUUUGAACCCCAUUCGGUUCUUCAGUCGCUUCAUUGAUAUUCGAGCGUAUGUGACUCACUACCUAGACAAGACUUUCUACAAUCUCACAACAGUAGCCCUUCAUGAUUGGGCCACUUACAGCGAAAUGAGGAAUUUGGCUACUCAGCGCUAUGGGUUGGUUAUGACAGAGGCGCAUCUUCCUAGCCAGACUCUGGAGCAGGGGCUUGACGUUCUGGAAAUUAUGAGGAACAUUCACAUAUUUGUCUCUCGAUACCUCUAUAAUCUCAAUAAUCAGAUUUUUAUUGAACGGACAAGCAAUAAUAAGCAUUUGAAUACUAUUAAUAUUCGACAUAUUGCUAAUUCAAUUCGGACACAUGGGACAGGGAUCAUGAACACAACAGUUAAUUUUACCUACCAGUUUUUGAAAAAGAAGUUCUAUAUAUUUAGCCAGUUUAUGUAUGAUGAACAUAUCAAAUCAAGAUUGAUUAAAGAUAUUCGAUUUUUCAGGGAGAUCAAGGACCAAAGUGAUCACAAGUAUCCUUUUGAUAGAGCAGAAAAAUUCAAUCGUGGCAUAAGAAAACUUGGAAUCACACCAGAGGGACAGAGCUACCUUGACCAGUUCAGGCAGCUCAUCAGCCAGAUUGGUAAUGCUAUGGGCUACAUACGGAUGAUAAGAUCUGGUGGUCUUCACUGCAGCAGCAAUGCCAUUAGAUUCGUGCCGGAUCUUGAAGACAUUGUGAGCUUUGAAGAACUAGUAAAGGAGGAAGGGCUUGCAGAAGAAACGCUCAGAGCAGCCAGGCAUUUGGACUCAGUCCUCAGUGAUCAUACCCGAAAUUCUGCUGAAGGCACAGAAUAUUUCAAAAUGCUUGUAGAUGUUUUUGCUCCAGAAUUUCGAAGGCCAAAGAAUAUACAUCUCCGGAAUUUCUAUAUCAUUGUCCCUCCUCUAACGCUCAACUUUGUGGAACAUUCUAUAAGCUGCAAAGAGAAAUUGAAUAAAAAAAAUAAAAUAGGAGCGGCAUUUACUGAUGAUGGUUUUGCCAUGGGUGUGGCUUAUACCUUAAAGCUUUUGGAUCAGUACCAGGAGUUUGACUCACUUCAUUGGUUCCAGUCUGUUAGAGAAAAGUACAUAAAGGAGAUAAGAGCAGUUGCUAAGCAACAGAAUGUACAGUCAGCUAGUCAAGAUGAGAAGCUGCUGCAGACGAUGAACCUCACUCAGAAGCGACUGGAGGUCUAUCUGCAGGAAUUUGAACUGCUUUAUUUCUCACUGAGCAGUGCAAGAAUUUUCUUCAGAGCAGACAAGACUGCGGCUGAAGAGAAUCAAGAAAAGAAAGAGAAGGAAGAAGAAACUAAAGCGAGCAAUGGCGAUGUCCCUGAGGGCACUGCGUCUGCAGACCCUGUAGUGAGAUGAUGUCUGGGGUCAUCUUGGUGUCGUGAUGCCUUCCCAGUGCCGUGGAUUACAGACUACUUGAGAAAUUGUCAUUUCCCAGGUCACAUCAUGGAAAAUUCUGUAUGGCAGUGCUCUGGAGUCAAGCCCAUUUUAUUUCUGAUGCUCUGGUUUUCAAGGGCUGAGAAGCAGAUAUUGGAUCUUUGGGGUGUAGGCUGAAGAUGCUCCUGCUGGACUCUGACGUGACGCUAUCAAAGGGAGAGUCCAGAUCCCCACACCAUUGCUUCCCAUCUCCUGUACUCUGUGUUUGUAAUUUGUGUGUGUCUUUGGUCCAUGUUGAUCUCAAGUCAUGGUAAAGUCGGUGCAUAUGCUGUACACAGCCAGUAAAUACUCGAUUUAAAGAGAGUUGAGCUUGAAAUCGUGGCCGUCUGAGCAGACUCGGAGGAUGCGCUGAUGCUAGAGAGAGUGUCUUGCUGUCUGUAGCUCAGCCUGGCCUUAAACUUAAGCGUGUCCUUGCGUUGGCCUCCCCUGUGCUGGGGUCACAGGUAGGCACCGUACGCAGAUGAUGUGGGGACAGUGAAGGCGGGAGAUGGUCUGUCAGACCUCCCGCUGGGGGGACGGCUGACUGCUGCCUCUUUCCUUCUGUGGUGCUGCACGGAUGACACAGAGACGUAGGAAUUUCUGCCACAGACCACUGUUGUCAUGCUGGGCUGUGGGGAGGAAACCAGUUUGUUCAGCUUUAGUUUGGCAUAAUUCUCUUUGCAGCUUCAUGUGCAGACAUUUUAGACUGUGGGCCUCUGCUCAGGGGCCUUUUGUGCUACAUUGUUUUCUUUUAACCAAGGCCUCCCAACAUUAUGAACAGUUUAAUAGGACUGUAAAAAGUUUAAGGAUGUAGAAAUUAAGCAGAAUCAUUCAGCUACAUAGAUGAGGAUGGCAGAGUCAGAGUUCAGCUCAUACAAAGUAAACACGUGUAGUCGAUUAUAUAUAUAUAUAUAUAUAUAUAUAUAUAUAUAUAUAUAUAUAUAAAAAUUGAGCCAGUAAAUAGACUCCGCCCUCUCCAGUGGUGUGGUUCUAUAUCACCUAGCUUACUGGAUAUCUCCAGUUCCUAUCAGUAAAGGUACACCAAAGAAUGUAGGUGAUAUAUAGCUGAUAGCAUAAUUUUGGAGCAUGCUUAAGAACUAUAAAUACAUUUACAGGUUUGUGUGUAGUGAGAUAGUUUUCAUAAUGUUACCAUUAAGGUGAAGGGGACUAAAACACCUCUAACCAUGGCCUAUAUAAAAAGUGUUAUUAAAGUAUUUAACCUUUGGGUUUACAAAAGCAAUGAAAUGUUAGAAAAAAUACUCAUCUCUGGUAUCUGAAUUACCUUCAGAAUGAAUGCGUUGAGAACGUUUAGAGAUUGCUUUGCGUCUAAAGACUGUUAAUUUUUUUUUAAUAUAAAGCACUUAUAUAUUAGGAAACAGUACCUUAGAGCCAUACAUGGUGGCAUCUCCCAUAUUCUAGCGUUUGGGGAGAGAACCAGGGGUGAUCUUGAGUUUGUGGUCAGCUUGGGCUAGAUGAUGAGACUGUGUCUCUAAAAAGGAAAAACAAAACAAAAACAACACUUGUAUAUAAAGUGCUGUUAAUAUUAGCUAGUGUAACAUUUAGGUUGUUAAUCUCUGUUUCCUCAUUUGAUGUAUGUGUUAGUAAUCCCUGGUAAGUGGCUCAGCUAGUUGCAGACAAUGUACUGCUGCUCCCAUUAUCAUUAAGGGGCGUAAGUGGGGGGAUUAAAACAUCCAUGAACCAGGCUGGCCUCAAACUCACAAAGAUCUGCCUACCUUUGCCUCCCGAGCUAGUUCCAGGACAGGCUCCAAAGCUACAGAGAAACCCUGCCUUUCUUGAGAGUAGAAACCGGCAGCCAGCUAGCUUCUAAAAAGAUUUUUCCCAUCUCACAGUUGGGCACAUGGUAAUUUUUAUUGUGCUUUUAAUGCAUUAUAAUGUGAGUUUUGGUAAGUUGAGACAGAAGACCAAGUCACCCAUUGCUUCUGGCUUUUGAAAGUGAAGAUACGUGAUGCAUGCGAGACUAAGUGAAACACCAGCCCCACGCUGCCCCAGCUCCCAGUGGUGAUCUGCCCUUGACUUUCACAGCCUGUGCUUGGCCAAGUAUUGCAGGUCAGUUAAUAGACAUGAAUCUUGUGAUUUUGUGCCUUUAAUUCACCAUGCUGGAGUCCUUUCAUGUUGAUCUACAGCUGUAGUUGAUGUUUUCCUUCUGUCAUAUCUGGUUACAUGCAUGCCAGUGUUCUGUUCUGUUGAGAACUGGGUUUCUGUAUCUGGGAUGGUGCAGUCAUCUUCAUACAUGUCCUUGAAAGGUGCUAGGGCAUGUGCAUUUCUGGAUCGCACUGUGGAACAUGGAACCGACCCCCAUGCCUUCCGUGGAUGUGAUUCAUUGCUUUGCUUCUGCCACCUGCUAUACAUAGGUGAUUUCACUUCCUGGUUAUUUGAGAAAGCAUAUUUGUUUCCAAGCCCUUGUAACUUAUGAAAUUCUUUGUCCUGAAAAAUAUUUUAUAUAUUUAGGUCCUUGGGUCUCCUCGGUUAAUGUUUCCAUUCGGUCCAUCGUGUCUUUUUAUCUCAGGGUUUGCAUGGCUUGUUUUAACCAGUCAGAAUAGUGCUUUAGUGGGUGUUUGCUGUAUACAGUACUAGCCAGUGCUUUAGUGGGUGUUUGCUGUAUACAGUACUAGCCAUUGAACCCGAGGACGUGUCCGCUCAUGAUAGGCAGGUGCUGUGCCUCUGAGCUAAAGCUCUACUGCUUUUGUUUUCAACUCAGUUACCACUGAGCUUCAUCUCUGACCCCUCGGAAAGUUGUAAGCAAGGAAGGUGUAGAAGAGUGUCAGUCCCGCAACCCAUCAGAAACCCAGACCCAACGGUUGUUACCGAAACGUGUGAGGCUCAGCUCUCUACAGUGGAACUUCCAAAUUCUUGGAGUAAGAGUGAAGUUAGACUAGACGGCCAGCGAGCUCAGCUAAUGCGCAGAGUGAACCCUGUGUUUUUUGAGACAGUAUUUUUAGUCUGGGCUGCUCUGAAGUCCACACAUGGCCCAGGCUGGCCUCGAACUCAUUCUCCUUCUGCCCCAAGUGUGGAAGAUGUAGGUGUGCUGCUGUCCUGACAUCCAGACACGACGGCAUCUCUACUCCAGAACUUAGAAGCAGGACUGCGGGGCCAGCCUGGGCCUUCUUCUAGGGAUGGCCUAUAAACUAACCACAGUAAGCACAGAAAGAGAUAAAACAGUCAUUUUUAUUGCUAAAUUAUUACAAAGAUUGGUUGAUAAAGCUGGUUACAAUUAAGUAUAUUGCAUGAUUUCAAGAUCUGUAUCUCUACUUCAUAAUUAGCAGGGUUGGAAUUGGUCUGAAACUCCAGGAACCAGAAACAUCAGGGUAGAAACAGAACUUCACACUGAGCCCCACUGCCAGGUGAGCUUUGAAUGAGUUCUAAAAUUAAUUGGUCCCUUUGAAGAAGGUCUGGCUCAGAAGAAGAGGAACUAGUGGGGCUGUCCCUUGCUCACAGUGAGUAGCCACAAAAAGUAGCCACAUUUAAGAGAAUGAAAGCUGGUUCAGAAAGUCCUGUUGUGAAGACUGGCCGUCUCUGCUAGUGUUUGAGACCAAACUGCAGAGCAAUGCCAUGAGGUCCGGGGAUACAGCUUCAGAGUGACAGGCACUUACAACUAUGUAAAAUACAAAAAUAGACCAUAUUAAUAGGAACUGUUUAGUAUUUAACAUUGUAGAUCCAGGACUGUCUUUUUUAGAAAAGGAUCGUAGAAACGGAAGUGAUCCCAUCCACGUAAAGUGAACACUGCAUUUUUAUAGUUCUCAUGCUGGGUACCCAACAGCACAGUCUGGAACAAAGACUUACCACAGAGCACCUAAAAUAGCAUUUGUAGGUGGGUAAGCACGAUGCCACCCAUUUCUUACUGCUUCCCUCCCAAGUUUCUGUGUCAGGGCAUCCAAGGGUACAAUUCCGCAUGUGACUGUCAGCAUUCUGAAAUCAGGUCAGUGUGCCUGCACGUCAGAGAGGUUGAAAACCCUUAAGGAGGUGGCGCUCUGACCCCGAUGCCCAAGGGAGUUAUGCUUCAGAUUCUGCGCCUCUGCUGUCACCCGGGCUUCCGCCAGUGUCAUCGGGCUGAUCGUUUAACAGUACAUAUUUUCCAUCAUUGGUUAGUGGUACAGACAGCAUUAGUUGAGCCAGUGCUUCUGGGUCCUGAAGUUAAGAGUUUAAGAGAAGGGGAAAAAGAAAAAGCUUAAGAUGCACUUAAACCCCUGCGGCUUGACCUUCAGUGUUCUGGGCUGCAACCCCAUUCCCAGUAAGAGUGGGCUGCCAUCCGAAGGAACUCAUGGGGAUUACUUCUAGAUGCUAAGCUGGCGUUGCUAUUAUAAAAGCAAGACUAAUGUGCCCGAUUUAUAGCUGUCUCCCUCGAGUCUAUAGGGCAGCCCUUCAGAAAACUUUUUUCUUGCACAUCUUCAAGCCAUUGCAUCUGUGUCUUUUAAUUGUGUACAGGAGUUGGCAAAAGUGGCACAGGAGCCCACUGUGCACAUCUGUCCUGUACUGCUCUUGGUGGUUUUUGUACGCGUGGAAUUGAGUCGUCAGACUGCAGCAAGGCUCAGGAGAGUCCUUCACGGCAGGGACUCUUCUCCUGUGGACUCCGGCACUCGGAUGACAAAGCCAACCAGUCUUUUGUUUUCUUGAUGAGCAGCAAACUGUGUGACACUGACACUAGCAACUCUAAUGCCCUGAAGCACGGAAACAUGUCCUCCAUUCCACUCAGAGGAAAGGUGAGAGGCCAGUAAGGGUUCUGAGUGAGCUGUGUGCAGCUGUGCCUCUCUGGGGACGAUGCUGUGGGUAAGAGCACUUGCUCUGUGGGAACUCCAGCACCAGUGUUAAAAGCUGGGUGUGGCUACAUGAACCUGUAACUCCAGCUUCUAGUGAGGCUGAACAGGUCGGUCCUGGGAGCCUGCUGCCAACUCAUUGAGACUUAAGGACUACGGUGGAGGGCAAUAGGAGCGGAUGCUGCUGUCCUCUGGCCUCCAGAGUUUCUUCUGGCAGUUGGGUUAUUUUUAUUUUAGACAGAUUCACAGUCUCUGUUAGUCUGAGGUGACACCAGAUGACCACAC